rnacentral:lncRNA from 1 species
GGCAGAAUAAUGAACCAGUAAGCGUGUUGACCACAGAAACGGUAGUUGACGAAGGUAUUACCAUGACAACAAAGACUAGUGCAACCAGAACUCUUUUCCAAAAAAAAGAAUGGUUCCAAUGGAUCAUUGAAUUAUGUUUCUACCCAACAACUAUUGAGGACUUGUAAUCAAAAGAAAAAACAGCAGGUAUGAAUACCAAUGUGAUUUGUCUUUGAAAUGGUGGGUAAUAUGUUUUGUAUGAUAUGUCAAUAAAGUUCAUCAAACUGAUGGGGAUCUUGUCGUCUCAAACGGCAUAUGAUAUUAUUGCAGAGUGUUCCUUAAUUUAGUUUAUAUCUUUACUAUGUCACUAUGAUCAUUUAGUUUGCACGUGAUUAGUUAUUCCAUGCACUUAAUCACCAAGGUUCCUAUAUUAAAUUAAUAAAUUAUAUGUGUGUUCAUGAAUUGCAGGAAAGCGUGGACAACCAAAAUAUUUAGAGAAAGCUUUAUGCCUAUAUGCUGGUGAUGGAUAGCUAGAAGAAUGAAGAAUUAUAGAAAUUUUUAUUGGUGACGACUGGUGCUGAUGGGCAUGAAGAGAUCAAUAAGAGAACUCAUAUUUAGUUUUAUUUUCUUAUGCCAAACAUAGUUGCAAACUUGUAGUUAGAGAUGAUGUUUUUAUUCUGCUGUGGUCAUGUUUAUUUUAGCAGUACUCUAUUCAUUGUGUUAUUACUUUGGUUGAGACAUAUAUUUGAAGUUAAUGAAGGUUUG